rnacentral:rRNA from 1 species
AUUGAACGCUGGCGGCAGGCCUAACACAUGCAAGUCGAGCGGAUGAAGGGAGCUUGCUCCUGGAUUCAGCGGCGGACGGGUGAGUAAUGCCUAGGAAUCUGCCUGGUAGUGGGGGAUAACGUCCGGAAACGGGCGCUAAUACCGCAUACGUCCUGAGGGAGAAAGUGGGGGAUCUUCGGACCUCACGCUAUCAGAUGAUCCUAGGUCGGAUUAGCUAGUUGGUGGGGUAAAGGCCUACCAAGGCGACGAUCCGUAACUGGUCUGAGAGGAUAAUCAGUCACACUGGAACUGAGACACGGUCCAGACUCCUACGGGAGGCAGCAGUGGGGAAUAUUGGACAAUGGGCGAAAGCCUGAUCCAGCCAUGCCGCGUGUGUGAAGAAGGUCUUCGGAUUGUAAAGCACUUUAAGUUGGGAGGAAGGGCAGUAAGUUAAUACCUUGCUGUUUUGACGUUACCAACAGAAUAAGCACCGGCUAACUUCGUG